rnacentral:rRNA from 1 species
ACUCCUACGGGAGGCAGCAGUGGGGAAUAUUGGACAAUGGGGGGAACCCUGAUCCAGCCAUGCCGCGUGUGUGAAGAAGGCCUUAUGGUUGUAAAGCACUUUAAGCGAGGAGGAGGCUACUGAGACUAAUACNCUUGGAUAGUGGACGUUACUCGCAGAAUAAGCACCGGCUAACUCUGUGCCAGCAGCCGCGGUAAUACAGAGGGUGCGAGCGUUAAUCGGAAUUACUGGGCGUAAAGCGCAUGCAGGUGGUUUGUUAAGUCAGAUGUGAAAGCCCGGGGCUCAACCUCGGAACUGCAUUUGAAACUGGCAGACUAGAGUACUNUAGAGGGGGUAGAAGUUUCAGGUGUAGCGGUGAAAUGCGUAGAGAUCUGAAGGAAUACCGGUGGCGAAGGCGGCCCCCUGGACAGAUACUGACACUCAGAUGCGAAAGCGUGGGGAGCAAACAGGAUUAGAUACCCUGGUAGGCGU